GAUGAACGCUGGCAGUCUGCUUAACACAUGCGAGUCCAAUAGGAACUCUUCAGAGUUUAUUGGCCGACGGGUGAUUAACGCGUGAGAAUCUGCCUUCAAGUUGGGGACAACAGUUGGAAACGACUGCUAGUACCCAAUGUGCCACGAGGUGAAAGCUUUACUGCCUGAAGAUGAGCUCGCGUCUGAUUAACUAGUUGGUGAGGUAAUGACUUACCAACGCGACCAUCAGUAUCUGGUCUGAUAGGAUGAUCAUCCACACUGGGACUGAGACACAGCCCAAACUCCUACGGGAAGCAGCAGUGGGGAAUUUUCCGCACUGGGCGCAAGCCUGACGGAUCAAGACCGCCUGAGGGAUGAAGGCUCUUGGGUUGUAAACCUCUUUUAUCACGGAAGAAGAUCUGACGGUACCUGAUGAAUCACCAUCGGCUAACUCCGUGCCAGCACCCGCGGUAAUACUGAGGAUGCAAGCGUUAUCCGGAUUUAUUGGGCGUAAAGCGUCCGCACGUGAUUUUUCAAGUCUGCUGUUAAAGCGCACAGCUUAACUCUGUAACGGCGGUUGAAACUGAGAGACUAGAGUAUGGUAGGGGGUGCGGGAAUUACCAGUGUAGCGGUGAAAUGCGUAGAUAUUGCGAAGAACACCAGGGGCGAAAGCGCGCAACUGGGCCAUUACUGACACUCAUGGACGAAAGCUAGGGGAGCGAAAGGGAUUAGAUACCCCUGUAGUCCUAGUUGUAAACGAUGGGUACUAGGUGUUGACCGUAUCGACCCGGUCAGUGCCGUAGCUAACGCGUUAAGUACCCCGCCUGGGGAGUAUGCACGCAAGUGUGAAACUCAAAGGAAUUGACGGGGGCCCGCACAAGCGGUGGAGUAUGUGGUUUAAUUCGAUGCAACGCGAAGAACCUUACCAGGGCUUGACAUGUCGCGAAUCUCGGUGAAAGUCGAGAGUGCCUUCGGGAGCGCGAACACAGGUGGUGCAUGGCUGUCGUCAGCUCGUGUCGUGAGAUGUUGGGUUAAGUCCCGCAACGAGCGCAACCCUCGUUUUUAGUUGCCAGCAUUUAGUUGGGCACUCUAGAGAGACUGCCGGUGACAAACCGGAGGAAGGUGGGGAUGACGUCAAGUCAGCAUGCCCCUUACGUCCUGGGCUACACACGUAGUACAAUGCUUCGGACAAAGGGUUGCGAGCUAGUGAUAGCAAGCUAAUCCCGUAAACCGAGGCUCAGUUCAGAUUGCAGGCUGCAACUCGCCUGCAUGAAGGAGGAAUCGCUAGUAAUCCCAGGUCAGCAUACUGGGGUGAAUACGUUCCCGGGCCUUGUACACACCGCCCGUCACACCAUGGGAGUUGGCCACGCCCGAAGUCGUUACUCCAACCGCUUGCGGAGGAGGAUGCCGAAGGCAGGGCUGAUGACUGGGGUG
rnacentral:rRNA from 1 species